rnacentral:rRNA from 1 species
GAUGAACGCUGGCGGCGUGCCUAAUACAUGCAAGUAGAACGCUGAAGGAGGAGCUUGCUCUUCUGGAUGAGUUGCGAACGGGUGAGUAACGCGUAGGUAACCUGCCUGGUAGCGGGGGAUAACUAUUGGAAACGAUAGCUAAUACCGCAUGACAACAGUUAUUGCAUGAUAACUGUUUAAAAGGGGCAACUGCUCCACUACCAGAUGGACCUGCGUUGUAUUAGCUAGUUGGUGAGGUAACGGCUCAACAAGGCGACGAUACAUAGCCGACCUGAGAGGGGGAUCGGCCAAACCGGGAAUGAGAAACGGCCCAGACUCCUAAGGGAGGGAGCAGUAGGGAAUCUUUGGCAAUGGACCGAAGUCUGACCGAGCCAAGCCGCGUGAGUGGAGAAGGGUUUCGGAUCGUAAAGCUCUGUUGUAAGAGAAGAACGAGUGUGAGAGUGGAAAGUUCACACUGUGACGGUAUCUUACCAGAAAGGGACGGCUAACUACGUG